rnacentral:tRNA from 1 species
CGCGGAGUGGAGCAGCCUGGUAGCUCGUCGGGCUCAUAACCCGAAGGCCGUCGGUUCAAAUCCGACCUCUCGCAACCA